rnacentral:tRNA from 1 species
AGUUAUUUAGUUUAAAAAAAACAAGUGUGUUGAAAACACUAGAUAAAAAGAACUUUUUAAUAACUG